rnacentral:rRNA from 1 species
UACGGAGGAUGCGAGCGUUAUCCGGAUUUAUUGGGUUUAAAGGGUGCGUAGGCGGACUGUCAAGUCAGCGGUAAAAUUGAGAGGCUCAACCUCUUCCCGCCGUUGAAACUGGUGGUCUUGAGUGGAUGAGAAGUACGCGGAAUGCGUGGUGUAGCGGUGAAAUGCAUAGAUAUCACGCAGAACUCCGAUUGCGAAGGCAGCGUACCGGCAUCCAACUGACGCUGAGGCACGAAAGCGUGGGGAUCAAACAGG